CAGCAGCCGCGGGAACACGAAGGGUGCAAGCGUUACUCGGAAUUACUGGGCGUAAAGCGUGCGUAGGUGGUGGUUUAAGUCCGUUGUGAAAGCCCUGGGCUCAACCUGGGAAUUGCAGUGGAUACUGGGUCACUAGAGUGUGGUAGAGGAUAGUGGAAUUUCCGGUGUAGCGGUGAAAUGCGUAGAGAUCUGGAGGAAUACCGGUGGCGAAGGCGGCCCCCUGGACAAAGACCGACGCUCAGGUGCGAGAGCGUGGGGAGCAAACAGGAUUAGAUACCCGCGUAGUCCCUGUCUCUUAUAC
rnacentral:rRNA from 1 species